rnacentral:rRNA from 1 species
UACGUAGGGUGCGAGCGUUGUCCGGAAUUAUUGGGCGUAAAGAGCGUGUAGGCGGUCAGGUAGGUCGGUUGUGAAAACUGGAGGCUCAACCUUCAGAGGUCGACCGAAACCCCCUGGCUAGAGUCCGGGAGAGGAGAGUGGAAUUCCUGGUGUAGCGGUGAAAUGCGCAGAUAUCAGGAAGAACACCCGUGGCGAAAGCGGCUCUCUGGAACGGUACUGACGCUGAGACGCGAAAGCGUGGGGAGCGAACAGG